AUUGAACGCUGGCGGCAGGCCUAACACAUGCAAGUCGAACGAGUGGCGGACGGGUGAGUAAUGUCUGAGAAACUGCCCGAUUGAAGGGGAUAACUACUGGAAACGGUAGCUAAUCCCGCAUACCCUCGGAUGUGCCCAGAUUGUGUUAGCUAGUAGGUGGGGUAACGGCUCACCUAGUCGACGAUCCCUAGCUGGUCUGAGAGGAUUACCAGCCACACUGGAACUGAGACACGGUCCAUACGCCUAAGGGAGGCAGCAGUGGGGAAUAUUGCACAAUGGGCGCAAGCCUGAUGCAGCCAUGCCGCGUGUAUGAAGAAGGCCUUCGGGUUGUAAAGUACUUUCAGCGAGGAGGCGUUACUCGCAGAAGAAGCACCGGCUAACUCCGUGCCAGCAGCCGCGGUAAUAC
rnacentral:rRNA from 1 species